CAGCAGCCGCGGGAAAACGGAGGGGGCUAACGUUGUUCGGAAUUACUGGGCGUAAAGCGUACGUAGGCGGCUUUGUAAGUUAGAGGUGAAAGCCCGGGGCUCAACCCCGGAAUUGCCUUUAAGACUGCAUCGCUUGAAUCGCGGAGAGGUGAGUGGAAUUCCGAGUGUAGAGGUGAAAUUCGUAGAUAUUCGGAAGAACACCAGUGGCGAAGGCGGCUCACUGGACGCGUAUUGACGCUGAGGUACGAAAGCGUGGGGAGCAAACAGGAUUAGAUACCCCAGUAGUCCCUGUCUCUUAUAC
rnacentral:rRNA from 1 species